rnacentral:rRNA from 1 species
AUUGAACGCUGGCGGCAUGCCUUACACAUGCAAGUCGAACGGCAGCACGGGUGCUUGCACCUGGUGGCGAGUGGCGAACGGGUGAGUAAUACAUCGGAACAUGUCCUGUAGUGGGGGAUAGCCCGGCGAAAGCCGGAUUAAUACCGCAUACGAUCUACGGAUGAAAGCGGGGGACCUUCGGGCCUCGCGCUAUAGGGUUGGCCGAUGGCUGAUUAGCUAGUUGGUGGGGUAAAGGCCUACCAAGGCGACGAUCAGUAGCUGGUCUGAGAGGACGACCAGCCACACUGGGACUGAGACACGGCCCAGACUCCUACGGGAGGCAGCAGUGGGGAAUUGUGGACAAUGGGCGAAAGCCUGAUCCAGCAAUGCCGCGUGUGUGAAGAAGGCCUUCGGGUUGUAAAGCACUUUUGUCCGGAAAGAAAUCCUUGGCCCUAAUACGGUCGGGGGAUGACGGUACCGGAAGAAUAAGCACCGGCUAACUACG